GCAGACAUAGUCCAACCCAAAACGCUGGUUUGUGGAACCAGAGAUAGAAGCUUAAUAUCCUCCUUGUCUGCC
rnacentral:tRNA from 1 species